AUGAGAUUCAUUGAUCUUAAUAUGUACUCCACCUUUCAGAAGCAGCUGACUUUGGAAUAUAUUGGAAUUGACAUAAAAUAUUUAAUAUUCCAACUGGAUGACAAUAACUUAAUCUUUAUGUCUUAUCCUCAAGAAUAGCAACUGACUAAUACAGGAUGUCAUUUUUAUUCUUUUCAGCCAGGAUACAUGAGUUCAGGAGGAAAGAAAUGCAAAUGGAAGUGGUACAUCUAACUAUUACAUUCAUGACUUACUUGCAAAUGUAUGGUUCACGCCUUGUGAGCUCUAUUCACAGGUCUUAUAGCAAAAGAAAGAUUGCAUACAUGAGGGAAUAUCAUGAGAAGAAUAGUUCUUGGCUAGCUUACUGGUCCCUGAAGAAGGAAAAAAGACACGUGGAGCAUAGCUGAGAUCAGCCAAACCUCCUGUAAGAAAAUGCCCAGGAUGGCUUGUGUGUCCAAGAAAAAUGUAUUAAAUUAUUUUUCCUUACAAAGACAAUUCAUGAUCUUUACAAACGUAUUCUGUGAUUAAAGAUAAGGUGUUAAAUGCACAAAAAUUUUGUCUCCUAUUUUUCAUUUUUUAAAAAUAGAAAAUGAAACAAAACUGACAUUUUAAAGGCCAUAAUACAGAUUUCAGAAACAAAUUUUAAAUGAAAACACAAGUAAAUAUUUUACUGAAUAAAAGUCUUAACGUGAAAUGAAGCUUUGUGAUAACCAAGGAUGAUAGCAUAGGAAACUCUGGUGUUCAUUUGUUAGGAUUAUGAAUGGAAAGGAAGAGAAAGGGACCUACUAGGUUGGCAUAUGAAGAGUUACCCUCAGAAAGAUAAAAGAGACCUAUUCAGUGUCUCCUAAUUUCUUCCUUUAUUUAUCUGUUCAGAAUCCAGUCUGCUUCGAGAUUCAAAGUCUUGCUGUUAAUGAUUAAUUUUCCUCCUCCAUGAAUUCUGUGUCUAUCCUUGCUAAUCAAGAUCUAGUUCAAGUUAGUAGAGAUCAACUAAAAGAGCUGGUAGGACAUGUCAAGGGAAGAGCUGAUGGUAUCAGUGAUUAGGGGAGCCUAGUAGACUUUUGAAUUGAUGACUACUCUUGCUGAAUAUGAAUAUAUUUUGUCAUAGAAAUAAAUUAAUUCUGUUUUUUUUAUAUUUUAAAACACUCGUCACUAUUGCUCAACUUCAUUAUUGAAGUUAUUGACUUUGGCAAGCAAAACAAUAAAAGUUUCAACUUGUG
rnacentral:lncRNA from 1 species